UUGCACUAGACAAAGAGAGUAGCGCACUGGUGAGUAACACGUGGGAACGUACCUUGAAGUGGGGAAUAGCGUCUGGAAACGGACGAUAAUACCGCAUAAUCCCUGAGGGGGAAAGAUUUAUCGCUUUAAGAACGGCCCGCGGAAGAUUAGGUAGUUGGUGGGGUAAAGGCCUACCAAGCCUACGAUCUAUAGCUGGUCUGAGAGGACGAUCAGCCACAUUGGAACUGAGACACGGUCCAAACUCCUACGGGAGGCAGCAGUGAGGAAUAUUGGGCAAUGGAGGCAACUCUGACCCAGCCAUGCCGCGUGAGUGAAGAAGGUUUUCGGAUUGUAAAGCUCUUUCGGAUGUGACGAUGAUGACGGUAGCAUCUAAAGAAGCCCCGGCUAACUUCGUGCCAGCAGCCGCGGUAAUACGAAGGGGGCAAGCGUUGUUCGGAAUUACUGGGCGUAAAGGGAGUGUAGGCGGUUUAGUAAGAUAGUGGUGAAAUCCCAGGGCUUAACUUUGGAAUUGCCAUUAUAACUAUUAGACUAGAAUUACAGAGAGGAUAGUGGAAUACCCAGUGUAGAGGUGAAAUUCGUAGAUAUUGGGUAAAACACCAGUGGCGAAGGCGACUAUCUGGCUGUACAUUGACGCUGAGGCUCGAAAGCAUGGGGAUCAAACAGGAUUAGAUACCCUGGUAGUCCAUGCUGUAAACGAUGAGUGCUUGUUGUC
rnacentral:rRNA from 1 species